rnacentral:snRNA from 1 species
AGCUUUGCGCAGUGGCAGUAUCAUAGCCAAUGAGGUUUAUUCGAGGCGCGAUUAUUGCUAAUUGAAAAUGGGUAGAAUAACUAAGUAGACAUUUCUGCAAAGAGGAGAUC